AUUGAACGCUGGCGGCAGGCCUAACACAUGCAAGUCGAGCGGGGUUUUCGGACCUAGCGGCGGACGGGUGAGUAAUGCGUAGGAAGCUACCCGAUAGAGGGGGAUACCAGUUGGAAACGACUGUUAAUACCGCAUAAUGUCUACGGACCAAAGUGUGGGACCUUCGGGCCACAUGCUAUCGGAUGCGCCUACGUGGGAUAGCUAGGUGGUGGGGUAAUGGCUAACCAAAGGGACGGUCCCUAGCUGGUUUGAGAGGAUGAUCAGCCACACUGGAACUGAGACACGGUGCAGACUCCUACGGGAGGCAGCAGUGGGGAAUAUUGGACAAUGGGCGCAAGCCUGAUCCAGCCAUGCCGCGUGUGUGAAGAAGGCCUUCGGGUUGUAAAGCACUUUCAGUAGGGAGGAAGGAUGUUGUGUUAAUAGCACAGCAUUUUGACGUUACCUACAGAAGAAGCACCGGCUAACUCUGUGCCAGCCGCCGCCGUAACAC
rnacentral:rRNA from 1 species